UACGAAGGGGGCUAGCGUUGCUCGGAAUCACUGGGCGUAAAGCGCACGUAGGCGGCUUUCUAAGUCAGGGGUGAAAUCCUGGAGCUCAACUCCAGAACUGCCUUUGAUACUGGAGAGCUUGAGUCCGGGAGAGGUGAGUGGAACUCCGAGUGUAGAGGUGAAAUUCGUAGAUAUUCGGAAGAACACCAGUGGCGAAGGCGGCUCACUGGCCCGGUACUGACGCUGAUGUGCGAAAGCGUGGAGAGCAAACAGG
rnacentral:rRNA from 1 species